rnacentral:tRNA from 1 species
ACCUAUAUAGUAUAAAUAUUACAUUUGACCUCCAAUCAAAAAAUCUUUAACAAGUAUAGGUA